rnacentral:lncRNA from 1 species
GAAAUCACGAUUUUUGGACUUAUAAUAUUCACACAAAAGAAGUUAUGCAUAUUACUAUGGAAAGUCUCUAAAUAGUACAAGGACCUAAAACAGGGCCACUAGUCAGGACUAACCAGGUUUAAAAGUUGGAAACAUUUGAAAAAGAGUAGUCCUAAUUGUGACUAUUCCUUCAAAUUUUCUGUCAAAGAUGACAACUAGACAAGAAGACGCGAUAGAACAUCAAUGAUAGAACCCGAAUGAACUAUGAGCAAUGAUACCUUAAGCUUUUAAAAAGGGAAUUACUAUCAUGACAUUUCUACAUUCAUAAUCAUUCAUUUAGUUAGGAGCACUUGAUUCACUUCGAUCAUGGCAUUCUAAUUAUUUGACAUAAGCACCACAUCUAGUUAGAAGCAUUUGACUCAUUUUGAGCAUGGCAUCCUAAUUAUUUGGCACAAUCAUAGAUACGGAAAACCAAUUCUACAAAUCAUGUCCUCAGAAGACGGUGUAGCAACAUUGGUGAAUUCUACAGAUCUUGUCUUCCUGAAGUUGCAGUGAAGCAGAUUUAAGCCACCAUCCUAGCUCCCUAAAGUUGUAGUGGAGUAGGCUGAAACUGUAGAUCUCGUUUCCCUGAAGUUGCAGUGGACUAGAUCGAAAGCGGUGAAUCAUGUCUUCCUGAAGUUGUAGUGAAGUAGAUUUAAGCCAUCAUCCUAUCUCCCUAAAGUUGUAGUUGAGUAGGCUGGAGAUUGCAGAUCUCGUCUCCAGUGGAGCAGAUCGAAGAAAAUGAGCCUUAACCCCCUAAGUAGUAGGGCAACAGGUCGAAAAUUGCAAAAUCUUGUCUCCCUGAGGUUGCAGUGGAGCAGAUCAAAGUCACAAUCCUUAUCUCUCUGAAGUUACAGUAGGGCAGGAUAAAAACACGUGAACCAUGUUUCCCUGAAGUUGCAGUAGAGCAUACUGAAGCUACCUGAAGAAAAGAAGCACCAAAAAAGUCAUGAUUCCGUGAAACCGAGAAAAAUUGGCCUUCUUUGAAGUCUUUGCUCUAUUCUCGUUACACGAUAAUGAGUAAAGUGGGGCAGCUGUAAACGGGUCAAUUUGCCCGGUCCCACGUCAGAACCAAAAUACAAAAUAAAGAAACAAAAAAACCAAUAAUUAAUUAAAUGUCCUGUUACAGUCCAAAGCCCAAAAUUAAUUCAAGACCUUAAAACCCAAAUAACCCCAAAUUAAAGACCCAAAUAUCCUACAGUCCAAUACUUAAUCCCAAUUACAUGACCCUAUAACUAAUACCCUAGCCCAUUUACAAAACAAUCCAAAGCCUCAAGGCCCACACAGCCCAAAAACUAAAACUGCUUCAGCAACCCUAUGUCACCCCUCCCUCCUUUGCGCUGUAGCCGAGCCCCUCAGCGCCGUACGCUCCGUACCGUCAGCAGCCACGCCCGCGCCAGCACAACUUCUGUACGAUGCCAACCCACACCCCGUGCCUGCUAGUAAGCCAAAACAACAGCAGCAACACGAAAACAAAAGGAAAAAUUGUAUUUUUUACUUUUUUUUGGAACAUUCGGCUAUAAAAGCCUACUAUCUUCGAUUGUAAAGUUUUUUUCAGAGGAAUACACACACAUUUUUGCAUAUUGAAUACAAAGAAAAGAAAUCAAAACCUUGAAAAGGUGAUUAUUCGGCUUUGGCCCUUCUUUCCUGUUUGUUUUCAUCUUCUUUUCUUAUUGUUUGGUUGCACAUACUGUCAUUUUGAGCAUAAAAAGGGGUAAAAGGAAGCAAAGGGGUUACUUAUAAGCACGAACCGCCGGGACGGGGUGUAAGGGCUGAAAUCGAAAGUCCUUAAAGUAAGGACCCAAGCAGGGUCAGCGAGAGUACAAAUCUCCCUCCGUCGAUCACCGUUCAGGGUGGUCAAGUGGCGGCUAGGACCUCUUGAGAUUCGAACAGAAGGGGGGGAUUAGGUUUCGGCUGAGGAGAAAGGAUUGGGGGGCUAGGGUUUGAAUGACUGUUUCAGUUUCAGCUCUUUUAAAG